UUUGAUGGUAGAGGGCAGUACCCGAAAGAGCUUUGGCUCUUGUAAAAUAUAUUAAAGCAGGAACAAAUAAUCUAUUUUAGAAAAAGAAAAAAUGCAGUAUCAAAACCAAAAAGAAUGAGAAUUUUUAUAUUUGGAAGUUCUUUAACUUUCACAUUUACCCUUAGUGACAUGCUCUUAUAGGGUGUGGUCUAGAGAUCAAUGAAUGGGUAAGAACCAUGAGGUCUUAGAUUCAAUUUUCUGAGGAGACAUAAUACUAGGUGAUUAUUCCCAUAUGUCCUAGUCUUGGUGAUAUCAAUGUCUGCUAGUUGUUGCUACUGGGAAAUGAUAUCCCAUGGAAUUAGUCGAGAGAAUAGUUGUUGAAUAUAUUAUAGCAGCUUGUGCGAGAUAUGGGAUGAAAAUAAUUGCCUUUUUCAAAAAAAUAUAUUUGGCAAUGGUAAGACAACUACAUCCCUGACUUUCAGGUAGAUUUUUUUGUUUUGAUUGUGCAAUUACUAGAAGUACAAAUAUAUCUUCUGUUUCUGCCUCAUUAAGGUAUUGCUUUGGAAACUCAAAAGGAAGAAUAUAGAUCAAGUAUCUUCACAAUGGAACGUAGUUAGAUAAACCGAGAUGUUUAACUAUUUCUUAUUGUACCAAGAAAAAUCUUAGUCAUGUGCUAGUGUUUUUCCUUAGUUGAACGAUAAGUGUGUCCUGUUAACUUCUCAUAAGUCGAUAUAUAUCCCCUUUAAAUUAGAUAAAGAUUUCAACCUAAUUACUUGGACUAGGCCUCAUUGGUUAUUAACAAGUAGAUUAAAUAGGUAAAAGAUGAGAAAUUUGUGUUUUUUUUUAUUGGAAACUAGCGAGUCCAACUGCAGUAAUUUUUUUAAUUAUUAUUGGAGAACUAGUGAGUCCCCUUUUAUAUAGUGUUGUUUCUUGUCCUCUAUGGUUAUCACUGUCUCUAGUUUUACCUGACAACAUUUUACUUCAUUUUUAUUGUAUCAUGUUCCUAUUAUCUGCUAUAUAUCGUGGGUUCACAAGAACAAAAAUAAAUUUUAGUGGCAAUAAAUAUUGACAUUAGUAAAGAGUGAUAAAACCUUUACCGGCAUUAGUUAAGUGUCAUUAGAACCAAUGUCUCUAAAAAUACAUAUUUAUUGCCGCUAAUGAUUAUUUUUGGCAUAGUCAUUGUUAUAUGGUCAAUAUGUCCCUGACUGGCAAUUCAGUGUGUCGCAGUCAACGGGAAGAACCUUUUAUGACUUUACAACUGUUCGCUUUCUAUCACCUUAAUCCUAAUUGUAUUCUAAAAAGUAAAAACGAUGUGACUAUGGAAGUGGCUCCAUAUAACACGUUAAAAACUCUACAGAAGUGUGAAGAUGAAUAUGAUGAGUCAUUAUUUCUUUGAAUGAUAUCAGUACUAAUUUUCAGUAGCACAAAUUUGAGGUUGUUGACAUGAAUGAUCAUCAUGAAUUCGUGAUCAUAUAUAUCUUGUGAUGGAUGAAUGACCUAUGGGACAAAUGGAGAGGAUACUUACAUGCAAAACAUGUGAAGGAUAAGCCCAUUCAACAGUCCCCUAAGAAUAUCCCAAGGGGAAUAGACAAAAAAGAAUGGAAAUGGUUAGUAAAGGAACAUUUUACUUCUGAAAGUUUCCAGGUAUGUAUACUUCUGAAGUUUAUUACUAGGAAACAACCUUGAAGCUUGUUCAGGCAUGAGAUGCCUUAUGUUUUAACAAUUUUGUUAUAAUUAUUCUAAUUAGGCUUAUGUUUCCCAUAUAUAGGCAAGAAGCAUCAGGAAUGCAACAAACAGAUCUAAGUUGAAGAUGCUUCAUCAUAUUGGGUGGGAAAGCUGGUAAUCUGACGAAAUGACUUGUAAGAAAGAUAACAAGUUUGUUGAACCUGAAGCAAUUGAAACACAUGCUCAACUUGAGGAAAUAGUUCAAGAAGAUACAUCUCUAUCUAGUAUAGAGAUUGUUGAAAAGUGUUGUGGACCACAAACUCAUAGCCAUGUAUUUGGAUUUGGGGGUUGACUAAAGGCGAAAGAUUUUAAACGUGGGACUUCUUCAAAGGCUGAAAUACUAGUCGCUCUACGUUCAACUCGAGAUGAUAACUUACUGAGUGAAGAAACGAAUACUUGAUUGAGUAAACAAAUCCUUAAAUGAUCGCUUGUCUAUCUUAGAAGAUGAGAUGAAAGAACUCUUUCUGCUCAACAGUAAGAUUUCCUACCUACAAUAUCACCUGUUUCAACUGAAUGACAAUUGUUUUUAUGUUGACCAUGUAAGUAACAAUAUACCAGACUUUAUUUUAUUAUAAGAGGUCUUUUAAUUCAUGAGAAGAUAGUUCUGCAAUGCCACAGUCAGUAAGGUGUAUGGUAACCCUCAAAAGCAUGUUUUUAGCUGCCUCUUCUAUUAUGUCUGUCAUGGGGGGGGGGGGGAUAAGAAAUAGUUUUCAUGUUGAUAAGAUGACGAGGUAAAAAAGUUUGUCACAUGAGGUAGCAGAUGGGAUGACUGUAGCUGUCAAAAUUUUCAAUGUGUACAUUUUAAACCUUUGACAGGAAAUGUGAAAUCGUUUGGAAUCUUUGUCACAGAAAUCUCACCAAAAUCAUUAGCAGCUGUUGUUUUAACUUGAAUUUUAAAGCACUGAUACUUGAGUACAUUCCAAAGAAGAGCUUAAACAAGUUGCUAUAUUCUCGUGGCUUAACUAUAAUGCAGAAAUUGAAUAUCAUGUUCGACGUUGAAUUUGCUUUGGAAUUUCUCCAUCAUGGUUACUCAGUUCUGGUUAUUCACGUUGUUCUUUAGUCUAGCAGUGUGUUGACAACGAAAUGAUGGGACACCUUACUGACUUUGGCAUUGCCACACUUCUAAGAAAGUUUUUGUUGAUGUUUCUGGAUAGCAUUUGAUGAACAUUGGACCUCUCAAUUUUUUCCUAGCUUCUGUUCAUUCUUCUGCUAGAUACAUGUUUAGAAGAAGAUGAAUCAGCUCACUAUUAGUUUUCUACAAAUUUAAUGCAAAACUUGAUGUUAGUCUAACUCGGAUGUUAGCUAUUUUUUUUUGUUAAACAAAUAUAUAUUGAAACCAAUAUCAUGGAUGUCAAUUAGUUUAUUGUAAUGAAUUGCU